rfam:Dipodomys ordii contig_10892, whole genome shotgun sequence.
GGUGGCUCAGCGGUAGAGUGCUUGCCUUGCAUGCAUGAGGCCCUGGGUUUGACUUCUCAGUACCA